UACGUAGGGGGCAAGCGUUGUCCGGAAUCACUGGGCUUAAAGCGCGUGUAGGCGGCCCGGCACGUCCGUCGCUGAAAUCCCCCGGCUCAACCGGGGAAGGGGCGCGGAUACGACCGGGCUGGAGGGGGGUAGGGGAAUCGGGAACUUCCGGUGGAGCGGUGAAAUGCGUUGAGAUCGGAAGGAACGCCCGCGGCGAAAGCGCGGUUCUGGACCCCACCUGACGCUGAGACGCGAAAGCCAGGGGAGCGAACGGG
rnacentral:rRNA from 1 species